AUACGUAGGGGGCGAGCGUUGUCCGGAAUGAUUGGGCGUAAAGGGCGCGUAGGCGGCGCGGUAAGUCUGGAGUGAAAGUCCUGCUUUCAAGGUGGGAAUUGCUUUGGAUACUGCCGCGCUUGAGUGCAGGAGAGGUUAUCGGAAUUCCCGGUGUAGCGGUGAAAUGCGUGGAGAUCGGGAGGAACACCAGUGGCGAAGGCGGGUAACUGGACUGCAACUGACGUUGAGGCGCGAAAGCGUGGGGAGCGAACAGGAUUAGAUACCCUGGUAGUCCACGCGGUAAACGAUGAAUGCUAGGUGUUGCGGGUAUCGACCCCUGCAGUGCCGGAGUAAACACAAUAAGCAUUCCGCCUGGGGAGUACGGCCGCAAGGUUGAAACUCAAAUGAAUUGGCGGG
rnacentral:rRNA from 1 species